GGCAAUACAGCUCAGUGGUAGAGCACACGCUUAGCAUGCGCGAGGUCCUGGGUUCAAUCCCCAGCAUCUCCC
rnacentral:tRNA from 1 species